ensembl:lncRNA
CGUUCUAGCCCAGUCAGAGGCGGAGGCCUUGCAUCACAAAACCCUGCUCCUCAGGCUAUGGCUCAGGGUGAAUUUUGCCAAAAGCUCGCUGUCUCCCAGCCAACGAGUUUAGUUUCUGGGAACAUCGCUCGACUCUGUGGCAAUGAGAGCAACAAUGGUGAAGGACCAUGCUGCGGCUCUACAAAGACUCGUGGCGUCUUUCAAGAUCGAUGUCUCUCGCCCCCUAAAGAUGUUCCAAAAGCUGCUGGGUCUUAUGGCAGCAGCAUUGCCAGUACUAGAGCUGGGUCUGCUCCACAUGCACCCCCUUCAGUACUGGUUGAAACCACGAGUUCUGCCUCAUGCGUGGUGCCACGGGCGCCUAUGCAUCAAGGUGAUCCAGGCCUGUGCCCUGACACCUUGGAGGAACGUGCACUGGAUGGAACGGGGCAUCCCACUCAGUAUGGUUUGCAAAAGGAAGGUAAUCUCGACAGACGCAUCCAACAUGGGUUGGGGUGCUCUGUGCGAGGGGAAACCUGCAGUCAGCCAAUGGUCAAAGGCGGAGAGCAGGCUUCACAUCAACUGCCUAGAAAUGCUUGCAGUUCACCGAGCCUGCCAGAGCUUCUUGCCAGACCUGAGGGGACAUCACGUGCUAGUCAGAUCAGACAGCAUGACGGUGGUGUCGUAUGUGAACCACCAAGGCAGGCUAUCAUCGAUGCGCCUUUUCAGUCUAACGUCUCAGCUGCUAGUAUGGGCUCAGUGCAAUCAUCGCUCCCUGAGAGCAGUGCACCUGCCAGGCAAACUGAACCAAGGUGCGGAUAUGCUUUCAAGAAGCAGAACCCCCUCAGACGAGUGGAUGCUUCACCUGCAAGCAGUUCAGACAAUAUGGGAGAUUUUUGGCAAAAUGGAAGUAGACCUCUUCGCCUCAGAAAACAACUCUCAUUGCCCAACAUAUUUCUCCAAGCAUGAGAUUGUGUUAGCCCUUGACUGGCCCAACCUCCUCCUUUAUGCUUUUCCCCUGAUUGAACUGAUUCCCCAGGUAAACAGGCGGAUCAGGGACCAAGGACACAGAGUUCUAUUGGUAGCCCCGCUUU